AACUUUUAACAACGGAUCUCUUGGUUCUGGCAUCGAUGAAGAACGCAGCGAAAUGCGAUAAGUAGUGUGAAUUGCAGAAUUCAGUGAAUCAUCGAAUCUUUGAACGCACAUUGCGCCCCUUGGUAUUCCAUGGGGCAUGCCUGUUCGAGCGUCAUU
rnacentral:rRNA from 1 species